GUCCCCGUUAUGUAGUGCUUAGCACGCCCGUUUAGCAAACGGGAGAUCUCAGGUUCGAUUCCUUACAAAGACA
rnacentral:tRNA from 1 species